rnacentral:rRNA from 1 species
UACGUAGGGGGCAAGCGUUGUCCGGAUUUAUUGGGCGUAAAGAGCGUGUAGGCGGCUAGACAGGUCCGCUGUGAAAACUCGAGGCUCAACCUCGAGACGUCGGUGGAAACCGUCUGGCUAGAGUCCGGAAGAGGAGAGUGGAAUUCCCGGUGUAGCGGUGAAAUUCGCAGAUAUCGGGAAGAACACCCGUGGCGAAGGCGGCUCUCUGGGACGCAACUGACGCUGAGACGCGAAAGCGUGGGGAGCAAACAGG